UGAUUUAUGCAUGCAUGAUUGGUUUUAUGACUUGUUUUAAUAUACCGUACUAUGAAAUGUUUUAUUUUGUAAUAUCUAUUAUUUUUUUUAAAAUGAUGCAUCAACAUGAAAAAAUUUAUGCUUGAUCCGGUAAAGUAGUGUAAGAUUUACUUACUGAGUUGUGUCACUCACAUAUCUUUAUUUUUAUUUUUCUGUCCCUAGACAAAUAGGGUCAGUAAGAACGAAGGAUGGUUCGGCAUGAAAAUCGUGCUAGCAAGCUUGGCGAUUUGUAGCAGAACAUUAAUUCUUUAGUGAUUAUGAAUAUGUAGCUUAGUAUAUUGAAGAUUAUAGGUUUGG
rnacentral:lncRNA from 1 species